CAUGAAGUUGGAUGUUGAUAACACAGGAGUGGUUGAUAAUAGUUUGCAGUGGUCACCAAGGGGACAGGGGUCACCUACCUCAAUGCGGGGGAGGGUCUGGAGACAGGGGCAAGUGUGAAUCACCUCAGGACAUCCCGGGCUAAGUGGUGCAGGAAUAGUGCCCACACCCCCCCCCAGGAGUCAGGUUUCCUCUGAUUAUGCUAAGAGCCCCAAUUUAAGGUCGUGCAACUGGAAAACAUGCUUUGUCUUAAUCAUAAUGUCCUAGUGUAAAUAUUCCAGUUACUGUGAAAUCUCAGUGAAUGUUGACUAUUCCAGAAGCGAGGCAAGGGACCAAAAAUUGUAAUAAAAAUAAUUAGGGUGGGAAAGGAAAAAAACCACUGAGAAAAUCCUGGCUACUGGGGGCGAUUGCCGGAAACAGUUUUGACACGAAAUAUAAAAGAGACAUGGGUCGUUGUUAGGAAGGGGUUUCUGCUUCUUGUAUCAGGAAAAAAAAAAAGAUGAAAACUGGAAGGUUUGUGUGUGGGGAUAGGAAGCUGUGGGCUCAGGGCUGAAGACCUGGGCUCUGUGGCCCAGCUGCCUGACAUCCGUGUUGGCUGCACGGGCGUCUCACCACUAGGCAAACGACCUAAACUCUCUCUACCUGUCUUCCCACCUGUGAAACAGAGCGAUGGUACCAGAACUCACCCCACAGGGUUGUCGUGAGGUCGGAUGCUUGACGCAAUGGCACACGGUCGCGCUCGACAGCCAGCUCUGCUGGCUCAGAGGUAUCAGCCAGCAAAAUCAAGUCUCCAGGACUCAGCGUCAGAUAGAUUUGGAGGUGUAUUUUUGGAACGGCUUCCUGAGCAGUAUCUCUGUCCUGAAGGUGGGACUAAGAAGUCUGACCGAGUGGAUUCUCACCCAGAGGACGCAGAGCCCCCAGGCCUGAAUAGAACGAGGGUAAACUUUAACUGGACAUCCGCUGGCCUGACCACCCCUGAGAGGUCAGGGAGCAGCCAAGAUGGCGGAACAGCUUGGAAGGUUUUUGUGUCUCGCGUCCCUGAAAUACAACCAGACCAACACUAAACCGUCCUGCACACCUAGAAAACGGAUCUGAGGAUUCACACAACAAUCUGCGCCACCUGAACCACCGAACUCAGCAGGCACUCAGGAUCUUCUAUUAACGUGCCAUCAUCCCUGGGAGAGAUACACGUGCACAAUACGAUCAUUAUUGUUGAGCAAACACUUCACAUAAGGCAAGUUGUUCAAGCAGUUGCCUAAGAAAAAGGAAGAGAUGACCAAUAUUUUGAAGAGUGAGGAAAGCUGAAUUUCCCCAGUGCGACCAUGACAAAGCAGGUAAAGAGAGGCACGAGGGAGGCACCAGAUUCUGGGGUCCUCCCAAUCUCCUGCGCGCGACAGACCUGACUGCUGGAGAACUCUGAUGGUGCUAACAGACCCUACCCCUGAGUAUGGAAUCAUAAACUGUUCCCUAUGGCCUGUAGAAGAUUCAUAUUCUCACUAGGGUUCCCUGUGUGACUCGAUUGUUCAACUUACAUUCUUCUACUUUAGAGAUGCUCAAUCUUCAAGGAUCUCGGGUAUACAGACACAAUUACACACAAAGCGUCAUGGCAUGGUCUCGAAACAUUGCCUUGCUCAUAUGAUGGCUAAGAUCCCAACGGAGGUGAUAAGUGGUGGCGAAACAAACAAUCAGACCAGCAGAUUCCAUCGUUCCUAGGUGGUAUGUACCUGUGGAUGAAAAAGACGGUCAUAAUCACGGCCUCCUUGAGGGGCAAUAUAAGAGAGCAGGUGGUGACGAGCAGAAUAGGUCAGCACCAGAGACUGGUCGUCACGACUGGGCCAGGCCCCCGCUUUGGUUUGGGCACUGCCACAGGAGCCGCGUGGGGGCAGCGUCCCUUCCUGUCCUCAAGCGGGUAGAAAAUUACACAGGAAGCCGGUUACACUAACCUGGCAAAUGUGGAUGAUGAAUAGUGGCUGCCGUUCCCCAGGCAUCCUUAUACUUCCCCUGUGAGUACCUUCCAUUGUAGAAAACUCUAAACAAACCAGAAUUAACGGGAAUUCGGCGUCUUCCUUUCCAUCGUGAAAAGUUUCCUUGCCGAACCCUUUUAGGAAACUCCAUUUGGGGAGGGAGGGUUAGAAAUUGGAAAAAGAAAGCCUUAACAUCAGCAUGUUAACUAUUUUUAUGUGUGGAAAGCGAAUAUCUGAUAGGAGAGAUUUUACACAGAGAAACAGUUUGCUCUAAAAAGCAGUGAUGGUGAACCCUCUCUAUACGACAUGGGCGCGUCUCAUGCUGAGUGAAUGAAACCAGACCAAAAAAUUAAAAAAAAAAAAAAAAGUGGAGGUAUACUGAAAC